rnacentral:lncRNA from 1 species
CAGGAAACAAGAUUUCACGGCUCCGUAAACCCAUGAUCAUGCUUACCAUAAGAAAGUUCUAAUAAGGAGAGGAAAAGUGACAGUAACUCUUGACGUAACUGCAGCACCUCAGUUCUGCAGCAUCAGGCUUUGGAUCACCCAGCACCAGCCCUGCAGGGAAGUGCCACCUGGCACACAUGUGAGCACCCAGGGCUUGGUCUCUCCCAGGCUUAUUACAAGGCUACCCUGGAACAGGACGCUUGGACCCACCUCGG